GGACCACUAGCUCAGUUGGUAGAGCAACUGACUCUUAAUCAGUGGGUCUAGGGUUCGAGUCCCUAGUGGUCCA
rnacentral:tRNA from 1 species